UUGCCACACAAGGCACAGGACACCAAACACAACACACCAGGCACAACACACAAGCCACAGCACACCCGGCACCACUCAACAGGCACAGCGCAGCUGGCACGGCGCACCAGACACAACCAGCCAAGUCCACGCUGCGUCUACACUUGCUUUAAGGUAGUAGCAAUCUGCUCUGCUUGGGAAAAGCCUUUCUGAAGGUUAUAAUCCUAUCUUCUCUGCCUGCAAGCUCGAGCCUUUGUUAAUUGAGGAUCUACUGUAUGCAAAGGUCCGAGGUGCAAGAAUCCUUGCCAGUUCUGCUCCAGAUGGAGCAAAUACCAAUACUUAAAAAAAAAAAAAAAAAAAAAAAAAAAAACAAAACUUCAAAGCAUAGAAGCGGACCCAAUCCUGGAUCUUCUAAGAUGGCAUAUCUGAAAGAGACGGUUGAGUGAAAGACCUGGAGGCUGAGGACUGGGGAUUGAACCUGGGUCUCAAGACAUGCCGGGCAAAUACUGUAACGGCUGAGCCCCUCCCUGGGAAUUGGGAACCAGCUAGCUAGACUACUGAAUGGUGACCUCAGGUAUGUCCGACCUCCAGGUACAUAGACCCUGCAGAAGAUCCCUCAGCGGGCAGCAGGGGCCCCAACCCUGGCUUGCUUCUUCUCCAGCUUGGCAAAACCCAACCCUGUUGGCUUCGGUGACCUUUCCUGGACCGCUGGCGGAGUGAGGACAAGCAAGGCUACUGUGUGAAGCCUACUGAAGACCUUGAGGGAGCCACAGUAAACAUUGCAACUGUGUUUGAUGAAGAACUUGGCUUUGGGUCCUGCUAGCAGGAAGAGCUCAAACUGGCUUGGCAAGGGCAGGCAGGCCUGAGGCCAUAGCUUGGCUGCAGGGCCUGGGAAGGAACUCUGAGACUGUGCACUCAAAAGGAACCCGGAGCCUUCUCUCCCAAAGCAGCUACCCACCUUCUUUGUAUCUCUAAGCUCCUGCUUGGCUGGAGGUAGUAACAUAUUAAUGAUAAGAAUGAAAAUUAAUUAAUCCCC
ensembl:antisense Wbscr25 Williams Beuren syndrome chromosome region 25 (human)